AUUAAAAGAGACUAAAUAAGACCAAAAUAACAAAAUUUCAGCAGCCAUCUUCCUCACCCAAAAACGUUACAUUCUCUCCCAAAACCCUAUUCUUCCAUGGGAGCUUAAUGGAAGCUUGAGACAACCCACCAAAUCACCAUAAAACCUUUAGUCAUCUUCACAAAAAUUUGCCCUAGCACCUUGCUAAAGCUUUUGGCAGCCAAGAAGAAGAAAGAAAGUGAAGCUUUCUCAAGCUUGGAUUGGCAUACAACAAGGUACUGGAGAUCCCGAUCGUGAGCCCAGUAGACCACAGACUGGGUGAGUCUAUCUGACAGUUCUGCUCAGUGUCCGUGUCACCUCACUACCUGCAGUGCAUCGGUAGGGCACUAGGUGUCAUUUUGUCAUUUUGAUAUUUUGUAGCAGAUUUGUAUUUUCUCAUAUGUAUUUGAACUCAUGUAAUAUAUUUUGAUGUAUAUGUAAAUUAUGAAAAUUGUAUUUGUUAAUGGAAAAGUAGAUGUUUACUUGUGAUUUA